rnacentral:tRNA from 2 species
GGGCUCAUCGUCUAACGGAUAGGACAGUAACCUUCUAAGUUUCCAAUGUAGGUUCGAUUCCUACUGAGCUCA